AGUUUUUAGCUGUUUUUUAAAAGCGACCACGGAGUCCACAGAUCUCAGGCUCAAAGGGAGAGAGUUCCACAAUCUGGGGGCCACAGUUACAAAAGCUUUGUCGCCUUUUGUUUUCAGCCUCGUGUGUUGGACAACCAGCAAGCCCUGGUCACAUGACCUCAGGGACCUGCUGGGAAUGUAUGGAUGUAAAAGUUCACUUAUAUAUGUUGGUGCUUGUCCAUGUAGAGCCCUGAAAGUCAAGGUCAAAACCUUAAAGUGGAUUCUGAAUUUAACGGGGAGCCAGUGCAGCUGAAUCAGCAGGGGUGUGACAUGGGAAUACUUGGAGGACUUGGUCAGAAGCUUUGCAGCAGCGUUCUGAACAACUUGCAGAUGCUCCAAAGAGGCUUUUCAUGAACAAGUAAACAAAGAAUUACAAUAAUCCAGACGAGAUGAAACAAAUGCAUGAAUGACAAUUUCUAAUUUGGAGCGCGAUACAAUGGGACUCAGCUUAGCAAUGUUUCUCAAGUGAUAAAAACAGGAGAGAACCAGAGAUUUUACAUGAGCAUCCGAAGUCAGAGCUGAGUCAAUAGUAACACCAAGGUUCCUGAUAGACGGUUUGGCAAAUGUAGCAAGUGGACCCAAGUUUUCCAUAACACUAGGUACAAAACUUUUAGGAGCACAAACAAGGACUUCAGUCUUCUCCUCAUUUAGUUGAAGAAAGUUUCCAGCCAUCCAACCUCUAAUGGAGUCUAUGCACUUAUGCAAAAUCUGUAGCUUGGAAACUUGGCUUAAAGGAGAUAUAUAACUGAAUAUCAUCUGCAUAGCAGUGAUACGAAAUGUCCUUAAGAGUGCUCAAUAAGUGUUGAAGAGGAAGUAAAUACAGCAAGAACAAUAAAGGCCCCAAAACUGAACCUUGUGGCACACCAUAGGCAAGAAAAGUAGAAGAGGAACUGUACUUAGAGGUAGCCACAGAAAAGGAUCGUUCAUGCAAAUAGGAUUCAAACCAGUCCAAAGCAGCCCAUGAUAUACCCACCCAGUGUCUCAGCCUGUCUAGCAGAAUAUGAUGGUCCACAGUAUCAAAGGCGGAGGUCAGCUCCAACAUCAACAGAACGAAGCAUUCUCCUGCAUCACAUCUCAUCAAAAUGUCGUUGGAGACUCUAAGAAGUGUAGUUUCAGUAGAGUGAGCUCUACGUAAGCCAAAUAAAGUACUGUGAUCACACCAUUUCUUUCUUGCCAAAAAGCAAGCUGCUGCAGGCGACAAAGUAACGACUAAUCAGAGCCAAAAUAUAAAUGACUGCAACAGUCUAAGUGAGAGGUAAUAAAAGAGUGAACUGAUCUCUCAAAGUUAUGUUACAGGAAGCAGGCCUUGACUUUACUGAGGAGCCUUAGUUUAAAAAAGCUCAUCUUAACAGAGUUAAUCUGUUUAUCUAAUUUUAAAGCAGAGUCAAAAAAUCACACCAAGUUUCCUUGCCAUUAGGUAACAAUAAGAAGCGACUCUCAUACUUAUCUAAAAGAGUUAAAGGAAAGGUUUAUAAGAUGGUAGUGAGUCCUGCUACCUCUGCCUCCUCCUGUCAAGCUGAUGUGGCAGAGGGAAAAAUUUUCACUGGGAGUAACCAGAAUGGACAGGAUUAGAAAUUCUUAUAUGGGAGGGACAGCUCAAGUUGAGUGGUUUGGAGACAAAAUUAUAGAGGCAAGGCUGAAAUGGUUUGGACAUGUUGAGAAGAGGGAUAGUGGAUAUAUUGGACAAAGGAUAUAGAAGAUGGAGCUGCCAGGCAGGAGAAAAAGAGGAAGACCUCAGAAAGCAUGGCUGGUGUGACAGAAGAAGGGAUACAGUGAAAUUGGAGGAAGAUGAUCCGCUAUGGUGACCUCUAAAGGCAGCAGCUGAAAGAAAAGUGGAGUGAGAGUUAGACGGACAGCAGGAUCUAAGGAAAGCAAGAACAUAAAGGAGAUGAAGAUGCCUCUAAAUAAAUAUCACUGCUCUGAUGGGAAUUUUAACUGGAGGAAUGUGUGUGACUUGGCCUCUGCUUGGAGGCUUCCAACAUAUUACAAAUGAAUGUCAGCGACAGACAAAAACUGUUUUAAGGAGCUAAAAUGACAGAUUAUCUGCUAAAGAACAGGAUCAUCAAGAGCUAAUGUAGUGGAAAUAAUUAUGCUGCCUGAGGAGUUCUAAAAGAAACUGCUAACUAUACAGUAGAUGCGAUACUGAAGGGUCUGUCUAAGUUGAGUGUGGCAGCUCUCUUAUGGGGUUCUCUCGCCCCCCUCUCUUCUUUCCGCAGCUCAUCUGUGACUGUGUUUCAAAAACCUAAGGACUUCCUGCAGAUCUCUAAAGAAGAUAGAGCUGGGAGAGGACCUGUACAGAGUUUUCAAAGACUUUUUAGACUCUGGGACGAUGACACUGUGCUGUAAAGAAAGCUGCUCUUCUCAUGCUGUUUCAAAAAAAAAGAAAGAAAGGAAAAGAACUACUUAAAAUUUGAGUACAUUUCAGCUCAUUUUCACAUCGAAUUCCUGUACACACAAGUAUGAACAUUUAUGUAUUGCAUUUUGUGUUUUUGUGACAUCAAAAGAGCUGUCUGGAUGUGACACUUGUCAGUAGCUCAAAUGAAAGCUUUAAGUCGGGUUGAUCGUGUGUAUUUGUUUAGGAGACUUGAAGCAUUUGACUAUGUAAAAUAAGAUCAGUUCAUGGGCUAAUUUGUUAUGCUCAAAACACUGGAAUCGCUUUGACGACAGGAGGAAGGCGUAGUUAACUCCACUUUCUGCAUUUGUAAGUAAGCGAGGGAGACAGUCUAAGUUGCAUAAAUGUCCUCAUCAGGAGGUGCAAGAUAGGAUAUCUGCAAAAGUCUGAGCACGCACCUACUACAAGAGCACCAAUUUUCGAGCUUUCACCUAGCAGGCUAUAAGAGAAAGAUACUUCUAAUUAUAAACUAAAGAUACCUAGACAGGAUCUCAUGAGGUGAACUUUGCAGCAGAUACCAAAUACAGGUCAGCUCGUCUGCUUUUGCUGCUAAUGUUACAGCGUUUGUUACCAGCCAAAACUGAUAUUAACAGACCUGAGCAAUAAAUGGAAAAAUAUGAAA